rnacentral:lncRNA from 10 species
AAGAAAAUAUAUGUUAAUACUUCAGUAGUGGUUUUCGUCUGAUUUUUGAAUAAGGGGGCCCAUGUUUGCAUCUUGCACUGGGCCUUGCAAAUUCUGCAGCUGGUCCUGACUGUCAAGACAGGGAUUUAGCCAUAAAAUCAGCAGGGGUUGGUCGUGGGGUUGUGGGUUACAGGAAGAUAGAGAAUUUAGGCAUGGCUGCAGGGUUUUAAGCUGAUGGUACUAUUGGCUGGGAAAUCUAGGAAAUCCAGCAUUGAAGGACAGGCAUUGUGAAUCUGUUGUGGAUGGGCUGAGCCUGCAGUGGCCAUGGGGCAUCCUGCCUGGGAGGGGGGCGAGCAGCAAUUCAUCAGCACAGGUGGUGACUGAGGCUCAGGAGGGGCUACUGAGGCAGAAACUGUGGGCAGGGAUGCAGGGCAAGGCAGACAUUUAGGAGAUGGGACAACAGCUUGCUAACCCCAAACCCCUUCUAGAUAGAAUGUUUUCCUUCCUCUUCAUCCUAAUGCCAGGAGCAACUUUGGUGGUGCGUUCCCCACAUCUGCCCUCUUUGCCAAAGCCCCAGGUUCCAGAGCCUUCCCUUCUUCCUUCUCGACUGCAUUAAGGCUUGCUUACCCUGAGUUCAAGACCCUUACAUCCUUGUUAGAUAAAUGGCUGAGUAAGAUGAUCAGUUAAUCAGAGCGAGUAUGGCUGAUGAUGCCUUCUACAAUAUAAUGCAAUGAACCUGCGCCCACCUUCACUGAACGAUCAACAUUCACUUUGGUGUAAUGGGGUAAACCAUCAGCAUGUCCCUCCUGAUGCAACGAACAGAGAACAUGACACCAUUGCUGUGAUAGUCCCACCCCAAAUGCAUAAGAAUAUCACCGCCAAGAAACAUCAGCCAAAUCCAAAGUAAGGGACAUUCUAUCAAAUAACCGUCUUGCGUUCUUCAAGAAUGCCAAUACCAUGAAAGAUAAAGAAAAACUGAGGAGGUGUUCCAGGCUAAAAGGGACCUACAGAGACACAACAACUGAAAAUAAUGCAUGAUCUGGGAUGAUCAUUUGCUCCAAUGUACAUCACUGGGUUAACUGGCAAAAUCUGAAUGAGGUCCAUAUAUUAGAAAACCGUGUUGUAGCAGGGUUAGUUUCCUGAUUUUGAUCAUUGCCUUGGUUAUAUAAGAGAAAAUCCUUGUUAUUAAGGAAUACACAGGAAUAUUUAGGGGUAAAGGAUAACUCAUCUGCCACUUAGAAAAUAAUAAAGCAAAUGGGGUAAAAUGGUAGCACUGGGGAAUCUCAGCGAAGGGUAUAAAGGAUGUCUUUGUACUAUUCUUGCAACGCUUCUGUGUCUGGAAAAAUAAUAAUAAAUAUUAUAUAUUUAAUAACUAAAUGAAUGAAAAAGUGUGCAAUGUUUCUGCAGAUGUCAACCUUGGCAAUGCAAUAGGAUCAUCUCAGAAGCUCUGCAUGAAUAUCAGUGCCCAGGCUCCAACCCAGAGAUUCAUAGUCAGUUAGCUGAGGGUGAAACUCCAGACAUCGGCAUGUGUGAAACACACCCCAAGGUCAUUCUAGUGUGAAUCCAGAAUAAUAAGCAGCCAGCUUAGCCUUUAGUGUCAUUGGGUGACAGGAAAGUUCUAGGCUGGGGACUUUCUGAGCCCCCCAUGUCUGCUUGUUUUGAGAUCUGAUCUUGGGGGCAGCAUGGUGACUCAAAACAGGAGCACAGUUGUGGGUCCAGUCUUGGUCCUUCCACUAAUAAGAUGGGAGACUUUGCGUCAGAUCCCUUGCCUGUGCCAAGCCUGGGUUUUCUCAGCUGUGUAAUGAGGUUAACCAGGAAGUGCCUCAGAGGCCAAUGUGCAUUCAGGGAAGAAGAUGCCCAGCUCAGUAACUGAUAUGGUGUGGCUGUGUCCCCACACAAAUCUCUAAUUAUAGUUCCCAUAAUCACCACAUGUUGUGUGAGGGACCUAGUGGGAGGUAACUAAAUCAUGGGGUGGGUCUUUCCCCUGCUGUCGUCAUGACAUUGAAUAAGUCUCACAAGAUCUAAUUCUUUUUUUCUUUUUUUGAGACCGAGUCUCACACUGUUGCCCAGGCUGGAGUGCAGUGGCGUCAUCUCAGCUCACUGCAACCUCUGCCUCCUGGAUUUAAGCAAUUUUUGUGCCUCAGCCUCCCAAGAAUCUGGGACAACAGGCAUGAGCCAUCACGCCUGGCUAAUUUUUGUAUUUUUAUCAGAGAUGCGGUUUCAACAUGUUGGCCAGGCUGGUCUCAAACUCCUGAUCUUGGGUGAUCCACCCACCUUGGCUUCCCAAAGUGCUGUGAUUAGAGAUAUGAGUCACUGUGCCCAGCCUGAUCUAAUGGUUUUAUAAAGGGGAGCUCCCCUGCACAACUCUCUUGCCUGCUGCCAUGUAAGAUGUGACUUUGCUCCUCCUCCACCUUCUGCCAUAAUCAUGAGGCCUCCCCAGUCAUGUGGAUCUGUGAGUCCAUUAAACCUCUUUUUCUUAAUAAAUUACCCAGUCUCAGGUAUGUCUUUAUUAGCAGAGUGAGAAUGGACUAAUACAGUAAUCCUUAAAGCCCCGGACCCCAAAAUGGAGUUGCCACAGGAUGGCAGUCUGAAAUCCUUGUGAUGUCCAGCUGGCAGAAAGGAAUUUGGAUGAGUAGGGCUGGCCAACUUCUGGUAUUGCUGGUGGGUCCUGUCAUUGUGUGGGUGACUCCUUGCACCCCUGACCCUUCAUAGGACUGAAAUCUGGGAGUGUUCUUGGGAAAGGGACUAGAGAAAGCAAGAGGACACCAAUCUUCUUCCAGGCAGUAGGAAGGCAAGCUGGAGGAGCCAAGCUCCCAAGUAAACUGAGGCACCUCCACUGGCCCCUUUGUGAGGCACGCUUGACCUGGGUUUCAUGGAAAGAAUGUGCCCUCACCAAAGGGUGCUAAACAAGGCCCCAGGCUCCACACCGGAUCCCAGGUGCCCCCCUCUGCCCUGCCCUAGACUCACCUAAAGCUGUACUGCCCAGAGUCAUGGCCUCAGGCCACACGUGGCUACUGGUCAUUUGAGAUGUGGCCAUCUCAAUUGAGAUAUGCUGUUAGUAUAAAACAUACACUAGAUUUCCAAGGUGUCAUGAGC